rnacentral:rRNA from 1 species
AGAGUUUGAUCCUGGCUCAGAUUGAACGCUGCGGCAUGCCUUACACAUGCAAGUCGAACGGCAGCACGGGAGUAAUCCUGGUGGCGAGUGGCGAACGGGUGAGUAAUAUAUCGGAACGUGCCCAGUCGUGGGGGAUGACGCAGCGAAAGCUGUGCUAAUACCGCAUACGAUCUACGGAUGAAAGCGGGGGAUCGCAAGACCUCGCGCGAUUGGAGCGGCCGAUAUCAGAUUAGCUAGUUGGUGGGGUAAAGGCCCACCAAGGCGACGAUCUGUAGCUGGUCUGAGAGGACGACCAGCCACACUGGAACUGAGACACGGUCCAGACUCCUACGGGAGGCAGCAGUGGGGAAUUUUGGACAAUGGGCGAAAGCCUGAUCCAGCAAUGCCGCGUGCAGGAUGAAGGCCUUCGGGUUGUAAACUGCUUUUGUACGGAACGAAACGGCCCUUUCUAAUAAAGGGGGCUAAUGACGGUACCGUAAGAAUAAGCACCGGCUAACUACGUGCCAGCAGCCGCGGUAAUACGUAGGGUGCGAGCGUUAAUCGGAAUUACUGGGCGUAAAGCGUGCGCAGGCGGUUAUAUAAGACAGAUGUGAAAUCCCCGGGCUCAACCUGGGACCUGCAUUUGUGACUGUAUAGCUAGAGUACGGUAGAGGGGGAUGGAAUUCCGCGUGUAGCAGUGAAAUGCGUAGAUAUGCGGAGGAACACCGAUGGCGAAGGCAAUCCCCUGGACCUGUACUGACGCUCAUGCACGAAAGCGUGGGGAGCAAACAGGAUUAGAUACCCUGGUAGUCCACGCCCUAAACGAUGUCAACUGGUUGUUGGGUCUUCACUGACUCAGUAACGAAGCUAACGCGUGAAGUUGACCGCCUGGGGAGUACGGCCGCAAGAUUGAAACUCAAAGGAAUUGACGGGGACCCGCACAAGCGGUGGAUGAUGUGGUUUAAUUCGAUGCAACGCGAAAAACCUUACCCACCUUUGACAUGUACGGAACUCGCCAGAGAUGGCUUGGUGCUCGAAAGAGAGCCGUAACACAGGUGCUGCAUGGCUGUCGUCAGCUCGUGUCGUGAGAUGUUGGGUUAAGUCCCGCAACGAGCGCAACCCUUGUCAUUAGUUGCUACAUUCAGUUGGGCACUCUAAUGAGACUGCCGGUGACAAGCCGGAGGAAGGUGGGGAUGACGUCAAGUCCUCAUGGCCCUUAUAGGUGGGGCUACACACGUCAUACAAUGGCUGGUACAAAGGGUUGCCAACCCGCGAGGGGGAGCUAAUCCCAUAAAGCCAGUCGUAGUCCGGAUCGUAGUCUGCAACUCGACUACGUGAAGUCGGAAUCGCUAGUAAUCGUGGAUCAGAAUGUCACGGUGAAUACGUUCCCGGGUCUUGUACACACCGCCCGUCACACCAUGGGAGCGGGUUCUGCCAGAAGUAGUUAGCCUAACCGCAAGGGGGGCGAUUACCACGGCAGGGUUCGUGACUG